CCCUUAGUUUUAUUACGCGUAAAUAUUGGUGGGAAACCAUUAAAGAGUAUAUAAACGGAUGUGAUGCAUGUGCAAAACGAAAAACUGGACAGAGGAUGCUUGCGCCCUUAGGAGAGUCGCUAGAAGCAAGCGAAUUUUUAGAUGCUGUUUCGUUGGAUGUAGUGGGACCAUUACCACUCACGGAACAAGGGAAUAAAUAUUUGUUAACUUUUGUGGAUCAUUUUAUGAGAUUUUGCGAAGCAAUACCGAUUCCUAGUCAGGAUACAGAAACUAUUGCUAGAGAGUUUGUAACCAAGAUCAAAGUUCAAUUUGGGGUACCUAAGAAAUUAUUGACGGAUAGAGGAACUUCCUUUACAUCCGCUCUGAUGCUCGAAACUUGCAGGUUGUUAAAAAUUACAAACAAGCAGUUAUAACACCCAGGCUAACUGAAUUUGUGAACGCAUGCAUAAGUUGCUUGUUGACAUGUUGUCACAUUUUGUGCGUAAAGACGCAAAGAAUUGGGAUAAGUAUGCGCCUUACGCGGUAAUGGCGUAUCGAGCCACUCCUCAUACGUCAAAAAAUUAUUCUCCAUACUAUUUAGUAUAUGGAAGGGAUAUGCGUCUUCCGAAGACUCAGUUGGAAGGACACAAGGUAGAUUACGAGGAGCAUAUACAUAUGCUAGCUGAGCGAUUGCAAGAGGCUUACCAAGUAGCCGGGAAACAAUCUAAAAUGAGUCAUGAACUUGCGAAGAAAUACUACGAUACGAAAAUAAGAGAGGAAUGUUUCAAUAAAGGAGAUUUAGUAUAUUUGUAUAAUCCUAUUUUUAAAAGAGGGAAAGCUCAGAAAUUUUGAUAUAAGAUAUCGCCUUUGGUAUAUAAGAUUCGUGUAGACGGAGAAAAGUCAAUACUUGUUCAUAUAAAUCGCUUGAAAGGAGCGCGGGGAAAUAAUAAAACUAGUCGGGAAGGAGAUCACACUAAGCUAGAAGGAACGUCUAGAUUUAAUGUAACCCAAGAGGAAGUAGUUAGUGGCAGGAAAGUAACUACUCCCAAUUCAGUACAUGUUCAACAAGGAGAUAGUGAACCUAGAAGUCCAGGGGUUCGAGAUUCAGAAGACUAUAGUUGGGUUGAGUCACCUAACUCGGAGCAAGAAGACAAAGAAAUAGAUUGGGUUCCAGAUACACGAUAUUUUAAGCGAAAAAUUAGGAGGCAGUAGGCCUAUUAAUCAACCGGAAGUACCUGAGGAAAUAAUAGAAACGCGGCCGAUAACAGAAACCGAAUUAGUACAAAGUCCAACUACACAAUCCGUUUCACAUUCGUAUAACUUGAGGAAUAGAACUCAGUUUACUUGAAAUAACCAAUAUAGGCAAAUAUGAAAAGUAUUGGGAACUAGCCGUGUGAGUAAAAGUAACCUUUUGUUACAGGUAUCAUCUGUUGGAGGGGGGAAGUCAUAGCUCCCGAACCAGAAUCAAAACAGUACGACAAAGGACUCGUAUUUAUGAAAGAUAGGGAUAUACUACUCACCGGAGAUAAAUGGACCAUUGCAGUGAAUUAGCCUUAGAUGAUUAUCUAAACUUGAUUAGAGGUAGAGAUUUGCCUUAGUUCAAAUUUGGAAGAACAUACAAGUUCAUCGGAAUCAGUUUGAAACUUCCUUGGAUAUUUAUUGGGAGGAAGUAGGAAGAUUGGACCAGAUAACUAACGAAUUGGAAACUGACUUAGAUAGCUUUGCUAAACUAUUAUCGCAAGACGAUUCCGGCAAAGGUUCUGUACCCGGAACUAAGAGGAAUAAACGUGGAUUAAUUAAUUUGAUAGGACAUGGUUUGAAAUAUUUGUUUGGCACAGCAGACGCGAAGGAUGUCCAAAGAUUAAAUACUAGAAGUAGUGAAUGCAACUGAACAGCAGUUGACUUUUCUACAUACGUUAGAUGAAGCUUCAAGAUAAAAUGCACGAGACACCGUUGAUUUAGCAAAAGCUUUGAGAGACUCAAUUCAAAAUUUUCACUUAGAUUAGGCCGAAACGAUGCAGAUUUGCAUGACCUACAUGUGGCCAUGGAGAAACAAGUUAGGUAUAGUACUGCAAUACGUGAAAUAGAACUUGCAAUGCAAGAAAUGAAAUUUAGUUUGAUACAACUGCAGGAAUCACUAGAUUUAACCAGUAUAGGCAAAUUAAGCAGCACUUUGAUUAACCCACAUAAUUUGUCGAACAUAUUGAAGCAAGUUGGUUUACAUUUACCGGCAGGCACAUCGAUGUUAACUGGAUUAACGGUUGAAGAAAUGUACGUUUAUUACGCAGUAGCUAGUGUACAUGCUACCGCCACAACAAGAAUCAUUCGUUUAUUUAUUGACAUACUGUUGAAAGCUGCCCAUCCCUUACCUUUUUUCCAUAAGGGGAUUAAUAAAUUCAUGAUGACUGAUGAACCAUUCACUUAUUUGGCAGUGGCUGAAGAUCGACAGUUCUUUACAACCCUUGCGGUGCAAAUGUUGUCUCAGUGUACAAAAAAUUAUUACACAGUAUGCCCUUCAGAUUUUGUUUUAAGAAAAUCUGGACACCAAGAUUGUCUGGUGGCUCUGUUCUAUGGAAAGACAGACAUUGUAUUACAUGAAAACUUUGAACCUGUAUGGAUUAGGUCAGGGAAGACCCUGAGGGACCAGCUCAAGUACUGUCACCACCUUCAGCCAUCGAAACACUUAAUGAUCACUCAUUAUAUAAAAUGCAUUCAUAUAGCUGAACUGUAGUUAAGGUCAUGACUUCCACAGGAAAUCACGUGUAAUCUUAUUUCCUUUUGUUUGUACAUGUACCCAAUUAAAAUGUGCUAAAAAUGAGCGUAUAUCGUAAAGGUGAGGGUAGAUGUUAUGAGCACACUUGUACACUUAUAUUUGUAUACACAUACAAAUUCACCUGCUUACAUUUCUUUUGAUUUAUAUAUUAAGUAUUGAUUAUUUGAUAUUUCUUUAUUGUAUUUAAUUUUCUUGUUGAUACAUAUUGUAUGAGUUGUCAUCUCCUGAAGCAAGAACCGGUAAUAUUGCGGUCAGCUUCAACCAAAGUUGCAUCCUGUAAGACAAGCCCACCAGAGUUGCAGUUAGUUGGGAAACCCACGGCGUACGUGUCUUGGAGACAUGUGUUGUCAUUUUGGGGAAUAUAACGGAAAUGUUGUGGUAAAGAUGACACCAAUCAGUCACCUUCUUUUAUAGAGUUCAUUUUGAAAUUAGGGCGUGAUCAGCCAAUAGAGAAUCACGUAACAAAUAUUACUUGACAUGUGAUGCUGAAUGAAACACGUAUUUAAACGGAGACGUUUCAGAAGUUAGACACUUCAGUGUGCACAGAAUGUGAUUUAAAGGAACCUUGUUCAGGGGGGAGGUCGUCAGGUUAGUCCGAGCAUUCGACUAACAUGGGACUUCACAGAAUCGAACAGAUAUGGGUGUUUCUAUUGGCAUACUCAUGUUAUCCAGUAACAGAGGCUAGCUGUUUCUGACAGACCUAAUAGAGUAGGUUCCCCCCAGCCCAUCCUCACACCUGAGGAUGAUGAGAGAGGCACUCUUCAAAACACCAGGAGUUCUUGUUGCUGUUUCUGCUGUGCUGAUGACAGAACAGUCUUCAGCUGUUGUACUGGGGCCCCUCCAGCACUUGGCUCCUGUCCUGCUUAUAAAACAGUUUAUUCAAUACCAUAUUUAAAUAUAUAUACAUCUAACUGAUAUUUCUUCUAGAAUUUUCUGGAUGUUUUUAUGGAAAUAUAUCAUAACUUCACAUAUUUUGUUCCCAGAAUUGAUGUAAUUUAAAAAUAAGCAACAGCAUACCAUGUGCUUCAUGACAACAAUAAUAAAAGUUGGAACUUUUCUAAGAACCUGAAUCACAUUCAGUUAACAUCCUGCAACCAGAAUAAGUGAAUCAACAAGCAGCUCUGUGAGUGAAAUCACUGUUGGAAAGACAUUCUGGAUUUGUCCAAUACAAUAUUAAGUUGUUUUAAAACAACUUCUGGCUCUUUCACAGGGUAUGAAUUUGUGUGGAACUGUAUAACUAGAAUGUGACUCCCAACAUGUAUAAUAUGCACUUUGGCAUGGCACAACACAAUACCAAGAAGUGUACAUGCAAAGUAGUGAACCACGUAGCUUAUGCACAGAAUUUAAAUGUAUUUUAUAAAACAUCGCAAUGAAAUAUGAUAUAAAAAUGCCUGUACUAAACAACUGAAGCACAAAACAUGUCUUGUUUACAAGUUACUUGAUGUGGAAACAUUAAAUAUGACACUGAAUAAAAAGUUUUGAUAAGUAUAGAUCACUA